UACGGGAGGCAGCAGUGGGGAAUAUUGCACAAUGGGCGCAAGCCUGAUGCAGCCAUGCCGCGUGUAUGAAGAAGGCCUUCGGGUUGUAAAGUACUUUCAGUCGUGAGGAAGGUGUUAAGGUUAAUAACCUUAGCAAUUGACGUUAGCGACAGAAGAAGCACCGGCUAACUCCGUGCCAGCAGCCGCGGUAAUACGGAGGGUGCGAGCGUUAAUCGGAAUUACUGGGCGUAAAGGGCACGCAGGCGGUUAAUAAGUUGGAUGUGAAUCCCCGGGCUUAACCUGGGAAUGGCAUUCAAGACUGGUUAGCUAGAGUCUUGUAGAGGGGGUAGAAUUCCAUGUGUAGCGGUGAAAUGCGUAGAGAUGUGGAGGAAUACCGGGUGGCGAAGGCGGCCCCUGGGACAAAGACUGACGCUCAUGUGCGAAAGCGUGGGGAGCAAACAGGGAUUAGAUACC
rnacentral:rRNA from 1 species